UGGGGAAUAUUGGACAAUGGGCGAAAGCCUGAUCCAGCAAUGCCGCGUGAGUGAUGAAGGCCUUCGGGUUGUAAAGCUCUGUCGGGAGGGACGAAUGGUGCCGGGUAACUCCGGUAAUUGACGGUACCUCCAAAGGAAGCACCGGCUAACUCUGUGCCAGCAGCCGCGGUAAUACAGAGGGUGCAAGCGUUGUUCGGAAUUACUGGGCGUAAAGCGCGUGUAGGCGGCGUUAUAAGUCGGAUGUGAAAGCCCUCGGCUCAACCGAGGAAGUGCAUCUGAUACUGUAGUGCUUGAGUGUCGGAGGGGGUGGCGGAAUUCCCGGUGUAGAGGUGAAAUUCGUAGAUAUCGGGAGGAACACCUGUGGCGAAGGCGGCCACCUGGACGACAACUGACGCUGAGACGCGAAAGCGUGGGUAGCAAACAGGAUUAGAUACCCUGGUAGUCCACGCUGUAAACGAUGAGUGCUAGACGCUGUGGGUAUUGACCCCUGCGGUGUCGAAGUUAACACGUUAAGCACUCCGCCUGGGGAGUACGGUCGCAAGAUUA
rnacentral:rRNA from 1 species